rnacentral:rRNA from 1 species
GAUGAACGCUGACAGAAUGCUUAACACAUGCAAGUCAACUUGAAUUUGGGUUUUUAACUUAGGUUUGGGUGGCGGACGGGUGAGUAACGCGUAAAGAACUUGCCUCACAGCUAGGGACAACAUUUGGAAACGAAUGCUAAUACCUAAUAUUAUGAUAAUAGGGCAUCCUAUAAUUAUGAAAGCUAUAAGCGCUGUGAGAGAGCUUUGCGUCCCAUUAGCUAGUUGGAGAGGUAACGGCUCACCAAGGCGAUGAUGGGUAGCCGGCCUGAGAGGGUGAUCGGCCACAAGGGGACUGAGACACGGCCCUUACUCCUACGGGAGGCAGCAGUGGGGAAUAUGGGACAAUGGACCAAGAGUCUGAUCCAGCAAUUCUGUGUGCACGAUGAAGUUUUUCGGAAUGUAAAGUGCUUUCAGUUGGGAAGAAAGAAAUGACGGUACCAACAGAAGAAGUGACGGCUAAAUACGUG